CGGCAACAGCUCAAAUUUGAAAUCUGGCCCCUAGGGUCCGAGUUGUAAUUUGCAGAGGAUGCUUUUGACAAGGUGCCUUCCGAGUUCCCUGGAACGGGACGCCAUAGAGGGUGAGAGCCCCGUACGGUUGGAUGCCUAGCCUCUGUGAAACUCCUUCGAC
rnacentral:rRNA from 1 species